UGGGGAAUUUUGGACAAUGGGGGAAACCCUGAUCCAGCCAUCCCGCGUGUGCGAUGAAGGCCUUCGGGUUGUAAAGCACUUUUGGCAGGAAAGAAACGUCGUGGGUUAAUACCCCGCGAAACUGACGGUACCUGCAGAAUAAGCACCGGCUAACUACGUGCCAGCAGCCGCGGUAAUACGUAGGGUGCAAGCGUUAAUCGGAAUUACUGGGCGUAAAGCGUGCGCAGGCGGUUCGGAAAGAAAGAUGUGAAAUCCCAGAGCUUAACUUUGGAACUGCAUUUUUAACUACCGGGCUAGAGUGUGUCAGAGGGAGGUGGAAUUCCGCGUGUAGCAGUGAAAUGCGUAGAUAUGCGGAGGAACACCGAUGGCGAAGGCAGCCUCCUGGGAUAACACUGACGCUCAUGCACGAAAGCGUGGGGAGCAAACAGGAUUAGAUACCCUGGUAGUCCACGCCCUAAACGAUGUCAACUAGCUGUUGGGGUCUUCGGACCUUGGUAGCGCAGCUAACGCGUGAAGUUGACCGCCUGGGGAGUACGGUCGCAAGAUUAAAACUCAAAUGAAUUGACGGGGU
rnacentral:rRNA from 1 species